rnacentral:rRNA from 1 species
AGAGUUUGAUCCUGGCUCAGGAUGAACGCUGGCGGCGUGCCUAACACAUGCAAGUCGAGCGAGAAGUAAAGAAAUGAAGCUUCGGUAGAUUUUCAUUAUGGAAAGCGGCGGACGGGUGAGUAACGCGUAGGCAACCUGCCCUGUACAGGGGGAUAGCCACCCGAAAAGGUGAUUAAUACCCCAUGAUGCAAGAGAUACACAUGUAUCACUUGUCAAAGAUUUAUCGGUAUGGGAUGGGCCUGCGUCUGAUUAGCUAGUUGGUAGGGUAACGGCUUACCAAGGCAACGAUCAGUAGCCGACCUGAGAGGGUGAUCGGCCACAUUGGAACUGAGACACGGUCCAAACUCCUACGGGAGGCAGCAGUGGGGAAUAUUGCACAAUGGAGGAAACCAUGAUGCAGCAACGUCGCGCGACGGAGGAAGGCCUUCGGGUUGUAAACUUCUGUCCUAGGGGAAGAAACAAAUGACAUUACCCUUGGAGGAAGCCCCGGCUAACUACGUGCCAGCAGCCGCGGUAAUACGUAGGGGGCGGAGCGUUAUCCGGGAAUUAUUGGGCGGUAAAGAGUGCGUAGGGUGGCAUCUUAAGCGCAGGGUUUAAGGCAAUGGUUCAACCAUUGUUCGCCUUGCGAACUGGGGUGCUUGAGUGCAGGAGGGGAAAGUGGAAUUCCUAGUGUAGCGGUGAAAUGCGUAGAUAUUAGGAGGAACACCAGUGGCGAAGGCGACUUUCUGGACUGUUACUGACACUGAGGCACGAAAGCGUGGGGAGCAAACAGGAUUAGAUACCCUGGUAGUCCACGCCGUAAACGAUGAGCACUAGGUGUCGGGGUCGCAAGACUUCGGUGCCGCAGUUAACGCAUUAAGUGCUCCGCCUGGGGAGUACGCACGCAAGUGUAAAACUCAAAGGAAUUGACGGGGACCCGCACAAGCAGCGGAGCAUGUGGUUUAAUUCGAAGCAACGCGAAGAACCUUACCAGGACUUGACAUCCUCUUGACAGAUCCUUAAUCGGAUUCUUCUUCGGACAAGAGAGACAGGUGGUGCAUGGUUGUCGUCAGCUCGUGUCGUGAGAUGUUGGGUUAAGUCCCGCAACGAGCGCAACC